rnacentral:rRNA from 1 species
GUGGGGAAUAUUGGACAAUGGGGGGAACCCUGAUCCAGCCAUGCCGCGUGUGUGAAGAAGGCCUUUUGGUUGUAAAGCACUUUAAGCGAGGAGGAGGCUACCGAGAUUAAUACUCUUGGAUAGUGGACGUUACUCGCAGAAUAAGCACCGGCUAACUCUGUGCCAGCAGCCGCGGUAAUACAGAGGGUGCAAGCGUUAAUCGGAUUUACUGUGCGUAAAGCGCGCGUAGGUGGCCAAUUAAGUCAAAUGUGAAAUCCCCGAGCUUAACUUGGGAAUUGCAUUCGAUACUGGUUGGCUAGAGUAUGGGAGAGGAUGGUAGAAUUCCAGGUGUAGCGGUGAAAUGCGUAGAGAUCUGGAGGAAUACCGAUGGCGAAGGCAGCCAUCUGGCCUAAUGCUGACACUGAGGUGCGAAAGCAUGGGGAGCAAACAGGAUUAGAUACCCUAGUAGUCC